rnacentral:lncRNA from 1 species
GUUAAGGUCAGAACAUUUGUGCAAUAUAAAUGUGUAUUCUAUCUAUAUUUAAAAGCAUAUGCAUGCAUAAACAGUUCAACAAAUAUUUGACCAAUGAAUCAGGCAGAAAGUAGAUAAUGGAAAAUACAGCUAAAACCAGCUUACAUCAGAACUACUUUAUUUCAUUUUAAAUAAAAAGCUUAUAACUAAGACUAUAGUUGAACUAAUGAUUUCAGAGUUUAAAAUAAGUCAUGCCAGGUGAAGGGGUUUCCCAUUUCAUAUAUGAUAGUUUGUGUAUGAUAAUUGUUUCCCUUCCCACUUUCAAGAUGCCAAAAUUAUUUCAUACCAAUAAAGGUAUUUGCCUCAUUCCACCUUUCUCUUCCAUUUCUAAAGUUUCUUCAAUGUUCUUCCUUUUUCAGUUAGCCUCUUAUUUCAACUGAUUUGUUUGUUUAUUUGUUUAUUGAUGACUGAUGGUUUUUGUAUUUAUUUAUUUAUUGAAGACAGGGAUUCAUAAUAACUCUGGCUUGGCACUCAAGGUGUAGUUCAUACUGCCCUCAAACUUGGGUCAGUUUUCUUCCUUCUGUGCCUCAAUAUCUGGGGUUAUAGGUCUAUGCCACCAUGCUUGGCUUUAGUGGGUUUAUAUCUUCCUUGAGUAGUUGCAGCUGACACGAUGAGGAGAAAUCUAUGGCAACACUGUUCAUGUGUAGGUCCAAAUGGGCGCUCAACUCUCCAGAAUAGAUGAGAGAAUACCACUUUUGGGCAGACAACUAACAAAAUUUAUUGUGAAAGUGUGCAUUAGUCAUCAGAUUUAAGUAGAAGGGAAAUUCUAAAUGGAAGGAGAAAUGAUGAGAAGUCCAGGCUAGCUUCAAUCUUUGUUGAGUUAACAGAUUAUAAGUAUAAAGGGAAACAAGGUAAGAGAAACACAGAAGUAGUGCUUUCGGCACUGAGAUCCCAUGGAAGUCUUCUGCUCUACUGGAGUCACAACAGGGACACAAUAAACAUUUUUCUAGAUAAUUACAGAGUUACAAAUAUGUGAGUGAGGUGAAUUAGAUAGCUUCCUUGAAAAGAUAACUAGUGAUCUGUGAAGCUCAAGAAGAAGGAAGACCAAAAUAUGGAUACUCAGGUCCUUCUUAGAAGGGGGAACAAAAUAUCCAUGGGAGGAAGUACAGAGACAAAGUGUGGAGCAGAGACUGUAGGAAAGACCAUCCAGAGACUGCCUCAUCUGGGGAUCCAUUCCACAUGCAGUCACCAAAUCCAGACACUUUUGUGGAUGCCAGCAAGUUCUUGCUAACAGGAACCUGAUAUAGCUGUCUCCUGAGAGGCUCUGACAGUACCUGACAAUACAGAAGUGGAUGCUUUCAGCCAACUAUUGGACUGAGCACAAGGUUCCCCAUGGAGGAGCUAGAGAAAGGACUGAAGGAGCUGAAGGGGCUUGCAGCCCCAUAGGAGGAACAACAAUAUGAACCAACUAGUACCCUCAGAGCUCCCAGGAACUAAACCCCAACCAAAGAGUGCACAUGGAGGGACCCAUGGAGCAACGUAUGUAGCAGAGGAUGGCCUUUUUGGGCUCAAUGGGAGGAGAGGCCCUUGGUCCUGAGAAGCCUUAAUGCCCCAGUGCAGGGAAAUGCCAGGACAGGGAGCAGGAGUGAGUGGGAUGGUGAGCAGGUAGAGGGGGGUUGGGACAGGGGGGUUUCUGAGGGGAAACCAGAAAAGGGGAUAGCAUUUGAAAUGUAAAUAAAGAAAAUAUCUAAU